rnacentral:rRNA from 1 species
CGCUCUUCGCUAAAGGUUCUAGUGUAUGAGGAGUCCUGCCUGCCCAGUGACUUUAGUAGUUAAACGGCCGCGGUAUUUUGACCGUGCAAAGGUAGCAUAAUCAUUUGCCUCUUAAAUAGAGGCUGGUAUGAAUGGCAAGACGGAGGUUUGACUGUCUCUUUCUUAAGGAGGUUGAAUUUAAUUUCUUUGUGAAGAAGCAAAGAUGAGAUCGUAGGACGAGAAGACCCUGUCGAGCUGAAAUAGUAAAAAUUAAGUGCUGUAGAGUAUUCUUACGCUAAUUUAUUUUCGGAAGAAAUUAUAGAAUUUACUUGAGAUAUGAGUGUACUGUAUUAUUUCUUGUUUUGGUUGGGGCAAUCGCGGAGUAAAUGUAACCUCCGUUGUAAAUAUUGAUAUUUAAAAGUGACUUCUUUUGUAGUAUAAAAUGUGUAUUUAUGAUCCACUAAGAAAGUGAGUAAAGGAAUAAGUUACCGCAGGGAUAACAGCGUAAUUUUCUUGGAGAGUUCAUAUUGAUAAGAAAGUUUGCGACCUCGAUGUUGGAUCGGGAUAUCCAGGAGAUGCAGCAGUUUCCAAGGGUUGGUCUGUUCGACCAUUAAAAUCCU